rnacentral:rRNA from 1 species
UACGUAGGGUGCGAGCGUUGUCCGGAAUUACUGGGCGUAAAGAGCUCGUAGGCGGUGUGUCGCGUCGGCCGUGAAAACCUGGGGCUCAACUCUGGGCGUGCGGUCGAUACGGGCAUCACUUGAGUUCGGCAGGGGAGACUGGAAUUCCUGGUGAUGAGCGGUGAAAUGCGCAGAUAUCAGGAGGAACACCGGUGGCGAAGGCGGGUCUCUGGGCAUUAACUGACGCUGGAGGAGCG